CCUACGGGAGGCAGCAGUGGGGAAUAUUGGACAAUGGGGGGAACCCUGAUCCAGCCAUGCCGCGUGUGUGAAGAAGGCCCUCGGGUUGUAAAGCACUUUCAGUGAGGAAGAACGCCUGGUGGUUAAUACCCAUCAGGAAAGACAUCACUCACAGAAGAAGCACCGGCUAACUCCGUGCCAGCAGCCGCGGUAAUACGGAGGGUGCGAGCGUUAAUCGGAAUUACUGGGCGUAAAGCGCGCGUAGGUGGCUUGAUAAGCCGGUUGUGAAAGCCCCGGGCUCAACCUGGGAACGGCAUUCGGAACUGGCAAGCUAGAGUGCAGGAGAGGAAGGUAGAAUUCGCGGUGUAGCGGUGAAAUGCGUAGAGAUCGGGAGGAAUACCAGUGGCGAAGGCGGCUUACUGGACUGAAACUGACGCUGAGGCGCGAAAGCGUGGGUAGCAAACAGGAUUAGAUACCCCGGUAGUC
rnacentral:rRNA from 1 species